UCUGCUCCUCCUGCUGCAGUCCCACAACUUCCUGUUUAGUAGGAAACUUGAUUAACUUGUUGGCUCCGUCGGUCCUGAGGGCCUUGCUUUUAUUAGGAAGAAAGUUGUUUGUUCUGCUUUCACAUGAUUUCACUGGAAAGAAUUGGUUGCAGUCAGGUGUUUCAAACACAGCUUUUAGCUUGGGGUAGCCAAGAGCAAGCUAGCACGGGGGCAACCCCUGCAAUAGAACCAUGCUUGGACAUUUCCAAGCUGAGAUAGUCUUGGUUUGUCCCUCCAUGCAGUCACUUAAGGGGCACUAGACUUUGUCUGGCUUCUAAAAAGGUGUAAAUGUGUUACAAUAAGUGCUGAGGGCUUUUAAAGCCUGAUUUACAUAGGUUGCUUCCUACUUGUUUCUGUGGAGACUACAGCAGAUACAAAGAGCACAAUAACACUGCGCGAUGGAGCAAGUAUUCACCUACAAAGCACUAUUUUUCAGCAUAGUCACCACCACCAUGAGCUCUCCAUUUUCACCAGCUAUGAAGAAGAACCCACACACCAUGCUCAUAAAAAUCUGCACCAGUGGAGGUGACCCACUGUUUCACAACUGUUAUGAUGGCAUAGUUGCUAGGAAAAUGUUGUCCAGACAGUCCAACUUUCAUCAGCCCAAACAGAUGGGAGUCAGGAGGCACCAAAUUCUGACUAUACUGUGGGUGUGGUAGGAUAGUCCAACCAAGACUGACAAUGUGCUCCACAGUCUUUGAAGUAGGAUAGGGCCUGGCAAUAGAAAAGUCGUCUUCUCUGAUCUGACUCUGGAAGUUUGAGCCUUCAGCUUAGUCAGCAUCAUGAUGUAGCAGUCAGAGUUGAUGGUUUGUCUGGGUUCCAGGAAAUCCAGAAGGAUCACCCACCCCUUUCCUAUCCCAAGAGACAGUGCACAUCACUGCCCGCUGAAGGUUGUGUCUUGAACUUGUUCUUCGAUGGGGGAAUUCACAUGCUGGCACUCCAUGGAUUGCCGUUUUGACUCUGGCUUGUAGUGGUGACAUCAUGUCCUGUCACCAGGAAUGAUGCGAUCCAGGAAACAAUUACUAUCAGUCUCAUAAUGGAUCAACAGGCCCUUACAAACUUGCAUAUGGUUCUUUCUGUUCCUGCAGAGCGUUCAUGGAACCCCACCUGGUGCAAACUUUGGGAUAUUCCAACAUUGUCUCCAUUGUUUCCAACACAUUGAAGCUGAGAUGCACCACACAUUGCCUCGCUGUGAUCACAUCCACUGUUUGGUUUCUGUAAACGUUCAAAUGCUUCCAAUAAAAGAAUUGUGCAACUAUUCCCAUCGGUGGCCUGUCCUCUACCCACAAUAGUGAUGGAGAAGACUGUUGGAUUUCCAUCAGCAGAACAAUGUGAGCGUGGACUCCACUGCCACACAUUUAAGAAAGAUCUCCUCAAGUUGCUGCUUGCCAAAGAAACAGGCGAGGUGGGAUGCCCCUGUGAAAGCUUCGCCCUGUGCAGCAUUCCCAUGGAAGAGUUAUUUCCAUCAAAGGUCCCACCCUUACUGAUGUUACUGCUGGGGAAAUAGGAGACAUCUUUUACAGGUGCUGAGCUCUCAGAAUCAGCGGUGUGGGAUUCCAGCUUUGUUAAAACAAUACCCUAAAGGUUGCGAAGCCAUGCCACUUGCCAAGAGCGAAAAUUGAAUGUUCCACUCUCCCCACUUGACUAUAUUUAGCUUGGGAUCCUAAUGAAGUCUUUCUUUGUGUAAUUUCAUCUCUACGGGGCAACUGUGAGAGAAGACUUCCUAAUUCUGUCAGGAUGCUGGGACAGCAUGUCCUCUGGGCCUUCAUCGUGUUGCCAUAUAUACAGCACUAGAUUGCGUCCCUGUUCUAUUGGAGAGACCCUACAGCAUUAUUCUUUUUGUUUUGUUUUCAUUUUUCCCCCCCUCUUUUUUUUUUUUCCCCUCUCUUCUGUUUUAUGAAAGAAACUCGUGUGUAUGGCAGUAGGCUUGUUUGCCCUGUAGAUAUCUGAUGGUAAUGCUGCUUGGACAUGAUUUAUUGUGCUAUAAUUCAACUAGAGAGUAUUCUGAAAGGUCAUUUGGGGGUGAAAUUCUCUUUUCUUUCGUGCAGUGUCCAAAGAAUCAGACAUGGGAUGGAGAAAAACUCUGAAGAUGUGAGAAAUCUUCCUCAGACAUAGGACCAAGCAAUGGGUAACCAUGGGGUGAAAUAACAUUGGUUCUGUGUUGCCAUUCUAUUGAAUAUUGAAUCUAAGCCUGUGUCAAGCCUCUGACGAGUAGGAGGCCCCUUGGCGCCCAUAAGAGAUUACUGAUACAUGUAAAAGAAUGAGUUCUGCCCUAUCCUGAAGUCCUGUCCAUCUAGCUGUAGGUGCCCCUGUUCAUUGCAGGCAAGUUGGACCAGACAACCUUUAAAAGUCUGUGCCAACUCAAUCCUAUGAUUGCACGAUAAACAGCUUAUUUUGACCAGGAAAAGACACCUUGUUAAAUUAAAUGCUAUACUCCUUUGUGCACAAAGGCAAUCUUCAGCCCAAGCUCCAUUGUGUCAUUGGUCAGCUGCCCACUCUAUCAUGCUGCACAUUGACACCUUUCCUUGCUGUCUUCUCUGCGUGCUUGAGGAUGUAAGGAUUUGCCUUCUUCCUUGGCACUAUCGUCAGCACAGAUCAGUAUUCCAAAAUGCAGCCCCCCAAAACCAUACCUCUGCAUUCUGCUGAUCUUUCAGGCUGCACUGGAAGCAGAUCUGCUGUGCGUGAA